rnacentral:rRNA from 1 species
AGAGAGAGACAUGCGCGCAUAUCAAUAAGCGGAGGAAAAGAAACUAACUAGGAUUCCCUCAGUAACGGCGAGUGAAGCGGGAAGAGCUCAAAUUUGAAAUCUUCAAGGUUUUACCUUGACGAAUUGUAGUUUAAAGAAGUGUUUUCUGUUGGUGUUUUGGUAAAAGUUCUUUGGAAUAGGACAUCAUAGAGGGUGAGAAUCCCGUAUUUGACCAUUACUUCCAGCGUUGUGAUACACUUUCAAAGAGUCGGAUUGUUUGGGAAUGCAGUCCAAAAUGGGUGGUAAAUUUCAUCUAAAGCUAAAUAUUGGCGAGAGACCGAUAGCGAACAAGUACCGUGAGGGAAAGAUGAAAAGAACUUUGAAAAGAGAGUUAAACAGUACGUGAAAUUGUCAAAAGGGAGGCGUUUGACACCAGUGUUGUUUUUCCGAAAGUCAAUUACGAAUGUUUUAUUUUUGAGGAGUUAUGACUUCAUCGGCUUGCUCCUUUCUUUAUGAAACUUUCUUAAUGCACUUUUCGGUUAACAAGUCAACAUCAAUUUCUUUUGUUGUAAAAGGGUAUGAGGAAGGUGGCUUUCCUUUUCGGAGAAAGUGUUUAUAGCCUUGUGCCUCUGCAAUCGGAGAGAUUGAGGUCUGCAGCGUAGAUCCUUCGGGGUUAGAUACGUUUGUGCUAAGUUAUAGCUUUUCAUAGACAACUUGUUGACUAUGUUUAGUCUUGUAGCUUACUCGCUGACGCUAUUUUACCUACGCUUAGGAUGUUGAUAGUCACAGCGUGUAC